GACGAACCGUGCGAACGUUGUUCGGAAUCACUGGGCUUAAAGGGCGCGUAGGCGGUCUGUCAAGUCCGGGGUGAAAGCCCCCAGCUCAACUGGGGAAGUGCCUCGGAUACUGGCGGACUCGAGGGAGGCAGGGGUCGUGGGAACUUCCGGUGGAGCGGUGAAAUGCGUUGAUAUCGGAAGGAACGCCGGUGGCGAAAGCGCACGACUGGUCCUCUUCUGACGCUGAGGCGCGAAAGCCAGGGGAGCAAACGGGG
rnacentral:rRNA from 1 species